AUGGGCAUUUUUCUAUACAGACAGGCUCAGAGGCAUCAAGCUCAGGCUGCAGAGGGGGCUGAGGAAACAGGGCAGGUGUUGACAUUUGUGUCAUUAAAACAUAUCCCCAGGACACAGCACUGCUCUGAGGCACACAUCCACGUUCAGUGCUGGGAGCGGGUGCUCACUUUGUGCCCCCUGAGCUCCUCUUCUCCCUGCAGCAUGUGCACAGAGAGCUCGUGCUUGCUAGAGAGGACUCCAAGCGUGUUGGCCUCUGCCCAGGCUGGGCUUUCCAAAAGGAAUCAGCCCAAGCUGUGUUCAAAGUCAAGUCCAUUGGCUCGGGCUCCCAAAUCUUAUAAGCAAGCCUGAAAGUCCCAUCUUUUGUUGAGGCCGGCUUUCAAAGUGCUCGUGUGCAGGUCGGGGAGCUCUGAGCUGCUCCUGCAGGGCUGGGCUCGGGGAACUGAUCUGUGGCAGCAAGGGCACGGCGCUUUGGUAGCAGGGAGACACAGCACAGCAGCUGGUAGUGUCAAGGCAAGCAGGGCUUUGCUGUUCUUAGCUCAGCAGAAAACUUUGAAGGAUAGGAAUAGUAACCUCGCAUUGACUUCAAGGCACCCUGCUAGGGCUGACGGUGUACCGGAGCAUCUGGGGACAGGACAAAGCAACCUGAUUUGAAACGCACCCUCAGCUCCAGCUCCUCUCAAGUGUGCCCUUGAUUUUUAUCCGAUUCCCCAGCAGUGCUCGAAUGCUCUGUCCUUUGUGUUCUUAAAAAUAUUGCCAGGGCAAUGGCAGGAGAGAGAAGAGAGUUUCAGAGCGCCACUGGGUAUCUGUUGUGUUCACCAGCAGUGCCAGUGCUGCGGGCUGGUGCGCAGUGCCCUCUCGGAUCCACCCGCCCCAGCACGUUCCUGCAGCCAGCUCUCUGCUAGGUGGCCCCAUCCAGCGUUUCCUUCUGGCAGAGCGGGUGCAGGUCGCUGGCACCGUGCAUUUAACCUUGCCCAACAGAGGUGGCCCCAGGGCGGAGAUAAAACCUGGCUCCUGGGGACGCUGAGGGGGGGUCUCCAUGCAGCUCCCCCGGGCUGCAGACAAAGCCAUUGCUCCCCAGCAGCACUGAUCUGCAGGCACAGGCAGCCUCCUCGCCAAGGAGCUGGAAGCAGAUCCUUGUGGAAAUGCCAAAGAGCUGCUUCACGUGUGCCACAGCUAUGUAAGCCACCCCUCCUCGUUGGGUACAUUUUCCUCCUGCUCUGCCACUGUGCUUGCAGUAACCUGCUGCACCUCCAGCUCGCUCCUCCGGGCAGGCUACGGGACAGGGCACCUCCAGGCACUGAGAAACACCGACUCAGUCUGUAACACACCCCA
rnacentral:lncRNA from 1 species